rnacentral:lncRNA from 1 species
AUGCCAAAGAAACCCAAACGUCAGCGCUUGGAGCAGAGAAAGGCAUAUUGCAGGCCAUGUAAGGAGGUGGACGGCUGGUGCCCAGAACACCCCAAACUCCCCCAGGGGUUUCAGCAAAGCACUUUUACAGGCCAGGUGAGGGAGCGGUGUGGAUGGCUGUUGCAAACUUCUUGGUGUUGGAAUCCUUUAUUUUUGAAGCUGCCCAUUUGGUCAGGUCACAAUGUUCCUACAAAUCUUGAACAAGAAGACACAAGCCGCUCUCUUCUGCAAACUUCAAUCUCUACACGAACGACUCCCGUGGCCCAGAGCCCUGAGAAGGGGCACGCUGUCACGCAAGGCGGGGAGCCGGCAGGGCUCAGCCCGGGAAGACGUCAGCUCUGCGGCAGAGUCAGGUGUGCUCUGCCCUGUCAUACUUCCUCUCACGCGCGUGCGGCUGCGUUCAGGUGUGCGGUGAAGUGUGCUCACAUGCGCCGUGCUGCUGGGCGUGCACCGCUCUCAGCUUUACAGGACAGCAGCACGCGGUGGGAAUCUGAUGUCCUCACUCAGCGGCCUCACGUCCACCAGUCCCGCUGCGCCGCAGUUCAUCUGUCUUGACAGCCGAGUGCUCCUGUCCCAGGGCCGGGUCCCCUGCCUCCUGCGUUUGGGGAUGAGGUUUGCCUGGGAUGCAGCUGUGCCGGCUCCCUUAUGUGUUGUCCGUGGGCCCUCUGGUGACACUGGGGCAGACUGGAGUGUCCGUGCAGAGCCCCGUGGUCUGCAAAGCCUGAAAGAGUUUUUACGACUGCAUUUUCUGUUUUUAACCAUGUUAUUGAGAUAGGAUUGGCAUGUAAAAAAGUGCACAUAUGUGAAAUUGAGGAUUCCACACAUCUGGCGUAAGUAUACAGCCAAGAGGCCGUGGCCAGCGCCAAGGGCACAGAUAUUCCACCUCCGUUGGAGGUUUCCUGCCACCACUAAUGCUAUUCACGUUAUCACCGCCUGUAUGUGUGCAUGGGCUAAGAACACCUAACACAAGUUCUCCCCUCAGCAAACGCUAAGUAUACAAGGCAGUGUUGUGAGCCAGAGGUGUCGUGAGGCUGGUGGGGUUCACUCAGCUUGUACGACUGAAACUUUGUACCCUUUGACCCACACCAACACAUACCCCACCCCCAAUGGCAAACAACGUUCUACUCUCUGCUUCUAUGAGUUUGACUAUUUGAGAUUCCACAUGUCAGUGAGAUUAUACACUAUUUGUCUUUACAAUAUGUGUAUGUCUAUACAAUAUGCACAAUAUUCAGUAUAUAUGUGCAUUUCAAAUCCUGAAAGAUGAUGCUGAGAAAGUGCUGCACUCAAUAUGCUGGCAAAUUUGGAAAACUCAGCAGUGGCCACAAGACUGGAAAACGUCUGAUUCAUUCCAAUCCCAGAGAAAGGCAAUGCCAAAGAAUGCUCAAACUACCGCACAAUUGCACUCAUCUCACAUGCUAGUAAAGUAAUGCUCAAAAUUCUCCAAGCCACGCUUUAGCAAUAUGUGAACCGUGAACUCCCUGAUGUUCAAGCUGGUUUUAGAAAAGGCAGAGGAACCAGAGAUCAAAUUGCCAAC